rnacentral:rRNA from 1 species
UGGGGAAUAUUGCACAAUGGGCGCAAGCCUGAUGCAGCCAUGCCGCGUGUGUGAAUAAGGCCUUCGGGUUGUAAAGCACUUUCAGCGGGGAGGAAGGCGUUAAGGUUAAUAACCUCAUCGAUUGACGUUACCCGCAGAAGACGCACCGGCUAACUCCGUGCCAGCAGCCGCGGUAAUACGGAGGGUGCAAGCGUUAAUCGGAAUUACUGGGCGUAAAGCGCACGCAGGCGGUCUGUCAAGUCGGAUGUGAAAUCCCCGGGCUCAACCUGGGAACUGCAGCAGAUACUGGCAAGCUGGAGUCUCGGAGAGGGGGGUAGAAUUCCAGGUGAAGCGAUGAAAUGCGUAGAGAUCUGGAGGAAUAACGGUGGCGAAGGCGGCCACCUGGACGAAGACUGAAGAUCAGGUGCGAAAGCGUGGGGAGCAAACAGG